GGAAAAAAAAAAUAAUUCGAUUUCGGUCGCGCCCUCCAAACGAAAAACAAGCACACUUUUUGAACAUUUCAUUGGUGGAAAAACUGUUCGAAUACUGUUUUUCGGUAUAAACCAUAACCCGCCUUGAGGAGGUGCUGGGCAGUCGACAAAUUUAGGACCAGUUCCUCGUUUUGGCUGUUUCGAGUGUUGUUUCUACCGAUUUUGGUGAAUCUUGAUUGUUUCUCGAUGGUAUUUUGUGUUUUUCGGAUUCUAUUACAGUCAACAGAAAAUGGGUCACGAGCAUAAUUGCACGGAAACACAGAGGAUGGUCAUCCGCAAAAUGUCCAAGGCAGGCAGCAGCCAACGCGAAAUCGCAGAGUACUUGGAAGAUCCAGAACCUUCGUGUUUGAAGCUCUCCACGACCGCAAAAAACGCCCAAGGAUGCGAAAUAUGACUUUGCCAUAAAGCGAGCAUCCAGGAAAGAUCCCUUCAAGGCCUCGAAAAAGAUCCAGGACGAACUGAACUUGUCCGUGAGUUCCCGGACAGUUCAGCGGCAGCUGGUGGAACAGGGGCUAGGCGGUAAAAGCCCCGGAAGGUUCCGAUGCUGACGCCGAAGCAUCUGAAGGCGCGGUUGAAGUUCGCGAAAGACCACUUCGAUUGGAUCGGUCCGGAAAAGCAGUGGUGAAAUAUACUGUGGUUGGAUGAGAUGAAGAUGCCACGCGCCGAGUGGGAGAGGUCCCUAAAAUGGCAGUUCAUGCAGGAUAACGAUACGAAGCACACUGCCAAGACCGUCAACAAGUGGUUCGCGAAAAGGUAGGUGUACACGAAAAAGUCGAUGAACAAGCAGCAACUGUGGGAUAGGAUCCAAGCUUGUUGGUACGCCAUCCCGGUCACCACGUCCCAGAAGCUGGAGGAAUCUAUGCAGAAUAGGGUGCCUGAAGUGAUGCGUAACAAAGGUUACACGAACAAGUACUAACCCUAGAAGCUUUUCCCGGUAUGAAUUUUCUUGUUUUUAUGUUUUUUUACCAUGAAUUUGAGAACCCGGUCUUAAUUUUUGUCGUGUAAAAUGACACGACAAAAAUUGUUAAAUAUGCUUGAAACGCAUUUUUUAAUGAUUGACUAUUGUUUUAACUACAGAUGUUAUAAAUUUCUUCGAACAAUGCAAACAAAUUGUUAUAAAUGGAUUGAAGCACUGGAUUGGAUUAUUUUUUCUCAAUGUUUUGUUACUUUCUUUUUUUGCUUGAGCAACGGUCUUAAUGUUAUAACUGAAUUUAAGAACGAAUGUUAAGAAUUUUACUAUCCCCGAAUCGGUUUUGAAAUAACGAGUGGGUAGAGUUGAGUUGGACAUUAAUUCAAAUCAUAAAUCGCUGAUCUUCUCCGCUGCGUCCUCAUCCUCAUCCUCAUCCUCAUCCUCAUCCUCAUCCUCAUCCUCAUGUUUGUUUCAUUCCCAUCCUCAUCCUCAUGUUUGUUUCAUUCCGGCUAGCCUCAAAAUAUUUUAAACAUCUUAAAAUUUUAGAAUUUGUUUCGUUUUUCUGAAAAAUUGCAAAUCAAAUAGCUAAUUGUCACUGAUUUAUACGCAUGAUACACAACAUUUUGACACUUCUCUAUGACGAGUAUACUCGUCCAGUGCUGAAAAUAUUCACGUUCACGACAUUCAAAUUCGGCGAAUUUCUGCCUUCCUUAUAUUGAUAACCUACUGCUCAAGCGAGAGUCGAUAAAUAUGAAACAACACUAUCGAUGAACCCCAGUGGAAUGCCAGCUUGCCAUGAAGUUCAUUUUUCAUUUGCAUCUUCCUUUUCGUCAUGGUAAUUGUAAGGUCGAAAUUGAAGAUCAUUGCGUGUUAGUGAAAAUCAAAGCAUAAAAUUCCGCGUCACCAAUUGAGAGUGAAAUCGAUUAAUGGCAGUGCCACAAAUUAUCAAAAUCUAUUCACGAAUGAAGGAAUUAGCUUUUUCCCAGUGUCGGAUGAAUUCUCUUCUGUUGACACUCAACACCAUAUCUGUUAUAAUGAGUAUAACACAAGAGUCGAGACGCGUGAACUUUGUCUGUUAUAUUGAACGAAAACAGCAUGAACGAAUUUCGCAAAGCCUGCAUUCAGGCACUUUCAUUACUGCCAAUAAUUUCAGGUGAUUAUCACGAACAUUAAGUUGAUCUUCAUCGCUCGCAGUUAUUUUUUUUAUUGAAAUCGUGUUUUAUUUUCAUAUUCUCUCGACAUUCUUCCAAAAAUGUAAGUAAAGUGACGAACCAGCCAAAUUGUUUUGAAAGUCACUAUAAUACAGUAUAAAAAAUGAACGAAAUGCUCAACGCCGUUCAACGCUAAACCUCACUCAGCCCUUGAUAUAAAACAUAUCAAGUGUUAUACUAUACAUUCCAUUGCCGAAGUCGCCAAAAACAAGAAUUUUGUGUUAUCGAUUUUACUCUCAAUGGGUUGACGUUGAAUUUUAUGCUUUGAUUUUCACUAACAUGCAACGAUCUUCAAUUUUGACGUUACGAAUAUCAUAAACAAAAUGAAGAUGCAAAUGAAAAAUGAACUUCAUGGCAAGCUGAUGUUUGCUGUUCAUUUCACUGGAGUUCAUUGAUAUUGUUGUUCCAUAUUUAUCGACUCCUGCUUGACCAGUAGGUUAUCAAUACAAGGCAGACUGAAAUUCGCCGUAUUUGAAUGUUGUGAACGUGAAUAUUUUCGGCACUGAUUAAUGGUAAAGGAUGACAGUUCAUCACAAAAAAAUUCUUGUUUUUGGCGACUUCGGCAAUGGUAUGUAUAGAAUAACUCUUGCUACGAUUUAUGAUUCUACUCACGAUUGCUCGGAAAUUGCAUACAACACCAUUUAUUUGUGCAAUGGGUGACACGUUUUCAAUAAAAAUUCACUGCAAGCGAUGAAGAUGAGCUUAACGUUCGUGAUAAUCACCUGAAAUUAUUGACAGUCAUGAAAGUGCCUGAAUGCAGGCUCUUCGAAGUUCGUUCAUGCUGUUCUCGAUCAAUAUACCAGACAAAGUUCACGCGUCUCGACUCUUGUGUUAUACUCAUUAUGAUAGAUACGGCGUUGAGUUGCAACAGAAGAGAAAUCAUCCGAUACUGGGAAAAAUCUAAUUCCUUCAUUCGUGAAUAAAUUUUGAUAAUUUGUGGCACUGUACUCGUCAAUCACAGUAAACUUGUUAAUAAUCGAGUCUGUCCGGUAUCAUCGCGCAAAGUUGUUGUAAUUGUAUUGUUAGCAAUAUUCUUAUCCGGAAGUCCUGGUUUUGCUAUAAUAUGCAACCUUCGACAUUUAGUUUCACUACGAUGAAUACUAUGAUCAUUUCUAACAUCAGUUUUCGGAUCAUGAAAAAGUUUUUAACACGUUGACUACCACGUCAGUCACCGGUGACUGACACAGAGUUUUCGCUCAAGCUGCGUCAGUCACCGGUGACAGACAGUAUAACAUAUGAUAAUAAAGGUAACUAAUAUAAGAAUAUAAGCUUAUAAAAAUUCCCUUUCGAACAAAAAUACCUUCCACUACGAUAAGAAACGUUGGCCCUAAUACGUUUAAAAACUACCAUAGAAUCGCUAUAAAACCGUGGCGCUUAACGAGUUAAGCACAUCGAACAUCGGAAAUUUGACUAAUUUAAAUGAUAACGCGAUUUUUGUACCUAACCCAGUCACUAUUGCAAUGACAUUUUUUUGUUUCUAGUAUGAAACUAUCUAAGCCAACGCAAAAUACCGUAUUAACAAAAGUUAUUCGUGAGCGGGAAGGUAGAUUCAUGUGCAUUGCCGAUAACAAAUGCACUUGAAUGCUGACAAGGAGGAGAGUGAAAGGAAAAAAAACAUACAUACACGCAGAUUGAGUCUUUUUAACUCACUCGUUAUUUUGUUUCGUGCGAUCCUUCCAAAGGAGUAUUCAUGCGUCGAAUGCUGUUUUCCACUCUUUGUUUUGUUAUGUUCACUCUCAGUCCCGAAUGAAGAUGGUCGGAGAGUGAAAAAUGAUUCAUCGUGCAAUCUCACUAUUGCUUGCUGCAUUCUCUUCGCCUUGAUUAUUCCAAGCAGAUACAAGAGUGAUUUAUAAUUAGGUGUGGAGAAAUGAGCGAAUGAACUUUUCCAUACUUGGCUGGAGUAUAACAUUACCAAAUCGCCCGCGAGGAGCGCAGCUAUAAAAUGAACAACCCAAACGAUCUCAAUGUAAAUUCUGCAGAUAGCUCACGUAGUUGCGACGACCAAUCGAAAAUAUUGUCAGCAUAGCUUCCUCAUAGAAAUUAUUUUCGCAAUAAUAUCCAUAUGAACCUACCUUUGCCAUGUCACCAAUUCAUCUAUAAAGGUCGUUUGAAUUCAAGGAAACAUUUAAUUCUAUAAGAAUGACUUUAUUUCAACAUAAUCUUAUCAUACAAUUGGAUUUCUUUCGAUCUCAUGCUGUGAUAAUUACAUAAAUUAUUUAUUAAUUCAAACAAAAUUCUGACCCAUCUUCAUCCAGAGAAAAGCCGCAAUUAGUACUUCCGAUAUUAUAAUUAAAAAAAACAAUGCUGAUUCCGUUUUAUAUAUGUACUACUUCUACACAUUUUUAUAUUUCUCUUUCGCCAAGAUAGAGACUGGAUGUGGAAAAACUUGGUGCUUUUGUAUUUUAUUUAACAUCGCCAGAUCGCAUGUUCAAUUUUCAUACAUCACAUAGAACGAUGAUUGGAGAUGCGAAGAUGCGAUGCGGCCAUGAUCGUGAUUCAUUUUUUUACAAUCUUUCUAAAAUACUUUGUUCUUAUAAGGAAGUCUUAUACACUAAAAAAGAUAUUUACAUAGUACAGAGGGACAACAAUAUAUCGUUAAAAUUCAUUCAUCUCGUCGAUAAAUAACUCUGUCUGUUCGAUAUCAAACAAGUUUGCGUUUCGCAAUUUCCGGUUGGCAUCAAACCGAGAUGAGAUCCUUCUUCGCGAUAAACUAUGUGCUUAUUUAUCUUCAAUGCUCUAGACGAUAUAACAACAAACUUAAGCAAAUCUCUUCCCAAAAUGGUGAGUUCGAGGAAUGGAAACAAACCAAUUUAGGAAUAUACUGGAUACAGAUUUGUCGCCUAGCAGUAAAAUGAGACAGGUUCAUUUACUAUUUACAUGUUUCAAUUUCAUCGCUUACACAGAAUUUAGAAGUUAACCAAUCAAAAUAAAGCGAACACAACUGUUACUGUAGUCAGAUGAAAAAGUUUUUCGACCUGGAUUAUAGUCGCGCCUUCUUGGCCUUUAUAAAUAGAUUUUCAACUAUAGAAUAUAAAAAUCAUACCGGUUGUGUUCAUUUAUAGUAUUGGAUUUUCGAAUAGUGGUCCUCGGGUGAUUGUGAUGUCCGCGUAUGGCUGCGGCUGUGCAAUUUCCAGUGCUUUGAAUUUCUUCAACACCAACAGUGAGUAGAAUUUUUGGGCGGCCUAUGCAUAGAAAAACGAAAAAAAGGCUUAUCAAACUUCUGUCGAACUUCCGAAGAAUGAAAUGCAAACACUAACCUGUUUUUUGUUAUUACGAUACGUCAUCUCCGACAGAACCAUGCUCUCUGAUUUCAACAAGCGUGAUCUCACCGAAAUAAACAGCUGUGCGGCACGUUUGUUCAACACACGCUCCUCGAACUGCUCGAUUGUCUCAUCAACUUGUUGUUCCUCGUUGGGUUGUUGCUGCUAGUGGAGGGAAACAACAGAUAAGGUAAAGAGAUGUUGAUGAAUGCAGAAGAAAAGCGAACUUACCCCGCCAGCGGAUUGUGGAAAUUCGUAUUCCUGGUUCCACUCACUCUGUACUUCGUCGCCCAGAACACCUCGAGCAGGAGACGCCGCAUGACCCUCAUAGCCCAUGUCGGAGAAACUCUCCAUCCCUGGUUCGUUCAAAAUGGACGAAACCUGAUCGGCCGGAAGAUUUGGAAUCUGGUCGAUAUUUUCCAAGCUCGAAUGGUGAGGCGUCAUACCGCCAUGAUCGAGACCGUGUGGAGUCAUAGCACCGGGUAAGUCAGGCAUGACAUGACCUGAAUCACCAUGCUGUAGACCGGCUGGCGUCAUUCCACCGUGAUGUAAGCCUGCUGGUGUCAUACCACCAUGGUGUAGACCUGCUGGUGUCAUACCACCGUGAUGUAAACCAGUAGGUGUCAAUCCACCGUGCUGUAGACCCGCCGGAGUCAUUCCACCAUGAAGAAGACCGGCAGGAGUCAAGCCACCAUGAUGCAGAUCCCCUGGGGUGAGACUGCCAUGUGGAAGUCCAACCGGAGUUAGACCACUGUGUUCCAGACUACCAGGAGUCAUGGGGAUGCUUGGAAUUCCUGGCGUCAGAGGCAUCAUAAGAGGUGUCUGCAUGCCCAGAUUCAACGGGGUCUGAUUAGGACUGCCGAUGUUACUGAUGCCUGGAGUAGCAGGUGGUGGCAUCAUACUCCCGUCGGGAUGGAAGCUUUGACUCACGUCCUGACAAAUUUCUUGCUCACGAAGUUCCAUUGAGAUUGGAGUAGGAGGCGGCAUUUCAACCGCCUCUCGCAUCUGAUCAACAGAACUUUGGUCCAUAUGUCCGGGUGUGGGAGGCAUAACGGGUGUCGCAGGCGUCAUCGGAAUCAUAGGUGUAGCAGGAGUGUCGGGGGCGUAAAUUUCCUGCUGUUGGAUUCGUCGUUUUCUGCCCCGUCGCUGAGUCACUGGAGAUUCCGGUCGUUCAGGUUGCUGCUGUUCAACUCCUAACACGUCCAACGGGCCCAGAACCGAGAAAUCUUCUAUUCCGAUAGAUCGAGAAGUCAGAUGCCGCUGAUAAUUUUUAAACAUGCACCGGGCUGGAAUAUCCCGCGAUGGUAGAGCAAACAGUUUCUCCACUCCACCGGUCUCCUUCCAGUACAUGAGACGUUUCGUAGGUGGCGCCAAAUCCAAUGUGGUCACAAUGUCAGAAGUGUUCGCCAACUGACUUUUCAUUUCUUCGCCGCUGAUGUUUUUGAUCUCGUCUACAAUAAGCUUUCGUUUCCGCUUACUUUUGGUGACACCCUUCAAUGCAGAUGCAUCGACGGGGGCCAACGCGAAGCUUUCUUCCUCAUUUUGCAGCAAUGUGGUCUGCUCAGCAUUCACAUCUUCCUCUCCAGCAAUAUCAUCGCCAAUGUGUUCUUCCUCCGGUUCGUUCCUCCUUUCCGGUUCUUCUGGCUGAGGCUCUGAUACCACAGGAGCUGCCUCAACAUCCGCUGGAACUUCAUGACUUACCGGUGCACUCGGCGCUGCAUCCUGACUUGUUCCAGGCUGCUGAAGAUCAUCCAACAAUGGCUGGGUUAUGAUCGGGGAUGGAGGCCGCGAAUUGUCCGAGCUUGGUGCCGGUGAGGGCGCUCCUCCCACAUCGAAAUGAUCAUCGUCGUCAUCAUCGCUGUCCUCAUCCGCUGCCGCUGCCGCCGUCGCCGCUGCCGCACCGCUCUGCUGAGCCUGUGUAGGCGCUGCCGGUAGAUCCGGUUCCGGAGCCAACGGAGCAUCUGCGAAAAUAUCACCCUCGAACAGACCGGCAGCCGGUUCCGCUCCAAAGCCCUCGUCGCCGAACCCAUCGUUGUCGAUACCGUGCGGAUGGUGCGGAUCGAACGAGUCCAGAAUGGAGUGGGAGGUGCCGGGGAGAGGUUCCUUCUCCUGCUCGAGAUCCGGCGGGGGAGCGACCGGGUCCGUGAAAAGGUCAUCCUAUGGGGAGCAACAAAAUACAAGAAGGAUUGCAAAGAAAACGUUAACAGGACAGGUUUUUGAUAGUGCUAUUAUCUUCUGGUUUCUAUUAAAUAAUUUGCGAUCUUCAGGAUGCAUUGAACACAUACGUUAAAUCCUGUUCGAUUUUUUUCAACAAGGAUAACAAACGAAGGUAUUUCAGAGUAUUCUUCCCAUAAAAAUUUCGAGCUUGAAUUUGAAUGUUAUUUCUAAUGACAAAGGAUUACGACGAUUGAAGUGUUCUUGCUUCUUUUUCAAACAAAUGUUGGUCCAUAAUAUCAUCGGGCGUGGCUUCUUUCAACAAUUUUGUUUAUAAUGUGUUGUGUAUAAUGUGUUUAUUUGUUUAUAUGUGUUUAAAUAUUUGGACAAUUUAAAAAUAAUGUUCUUGAUAUCAUUUUGCAUGUGCUAUAUUGACUACCAUAGACAGAGAAUUUAAUGUUGUAUGCGAAGGGACGCUCAUAGCUAUCAAUUGAAAGCUUCGUCCAUUUCAUUCCACCAAAAUGCCUUGUCGCGGGCCGUUUUCCAAAAAAGGGACAUUCAAGAGACAUAGGAGGGAAAAACAGUUCGCCUCCGGUGCCAUCAACUGAUUGCUAAUGCGGGCAUACUGCACAAUCUUCCACAGAGUAUCGACUCAAAAUCCCAAAAAAAAUCCCUUAUAUUCCCUGAUUUCCCAGUUAUUCAGAUGUAGGAUAGUAAUCAAAUCCGUUAAUUGUAUUUUACCUGUAGUUCCUAAAACAUUUAGUUAGCUUGAGCAAUGAAUUUAAUUGAGUUAAACGACGACUGAAAAGUGUCGUAAAAAUUUAAAAAAGUGGAUUUACUAAUACAAUUCAACGUUGUCUUGUAGGAGUCUCAAAUACUAGUACAGUUUUAUCUUGCAAUCUUUCAACUCCCUUCUGUGUAUCCAAAAUUUUCUUCGUUUUAUCUCCAGAGAUUUCGAUUCUACUUCCCGUAGUCGUUGCAUUAACUUUGAUUCAUAUGACGAUAAAGAAUAUGAGAAUUUCGAGCUAGUUGAAUUAACUAGCUCAACAUUUUUAUUGAUGCUAUCCUUCCAAAAUGAAGUAGAGCAUCAUUAAACUGGUCGCACUCUCACUCUCAAUGUAAGGGUUUCCACUCUUGGUAAAUCCUUUCUUGGUUGGUCCGAUCCUUUCCAAAAUGCUCCAGUCGUUCAUUUUUUUUGGAUCAUAGGGAGCAAACAUGUUACUUUUGUUGCUUGUAAUAUUGUUUUAGUGCUAAUCAUUAAACUGGUCGCACUCUCACUCUCAAUGUAAGGGUUUCCACUCUUGGUAAAUCCUUUCUUGGUUGGUCCGAUCCUUUCCAAAAUGCUCCAGUCGUUCAUUUUUUUUGGAUCAUAGGGAGCAAACAUGUUACUUUUGUUGCUUGUAAUAUUGUUUUAGUGCUAAACCUGCUGGAGCUCCACUGAUUCGUCCAAAACCCGUCAAAUAUCAAUAUAGUCAUUAGUCAAAAACUUCUCAAAUCGUUUU